UGAGUUUUUGGACGUUGAUUAACCCAUUCGUGCCAAAACUUUUCUAGCGAAUGAAAUUGCCUGAAAAUUCACAGAUACUAUUAUUUUGACCUAAAUAACGACUGAAAAAAAUUUCAUUGAAAUCCGUUUGAUACAGACUGCAUACACAAAUUAUAGUGUAU